rnacentral:rRNA from 1 species
AUUGAACGCUGGCGGCAGGCCUAACACAUGCAAGUCGAGCGGAGCGGCGGACGGGGAAGUAAUGCCUAGGACUCUGACUGGGAGUGGGGGAGAACGUCCAGAAACGGGCACUAAUACCGCAUACUAUCAGAUGAGCCUGGUGCGGAUUGGCUAGUUGGUGGGGUAAAGGCCUACAAAGGCGAAGGUCCGUAACUGGUCUGAGAGGGAGAUCAGUCACACUGGAACUGAGCCACGUGCCAGACUCCUACGGGAGGCAUCAGUGGGGAAUAUUGGACAAUGGGCGAAAGCCUGAUCCAGCCAUGCCGCGUGUGUGAAGAAGGUCUUCGGAUUGUAAAGCACUUUAAGUUGGGAGGCGUUACCAACAGAAUAAGCACCGGCUAACUUCGUGCCAGCAGCCGCGGUAAUAC